AUUGAACGCUGGCGGCAUGCCUAACACAUGCAAGUCGAACGAGAGGCGGACGGGUUGGUACUGUAUGGGGACCUGCCCGAGAGAGGGGUAUACCUACGGGAAACGGUGGCUAAUCCCGCAUACUAUCGGAUGAACCCAUAUGGGAUUAGCUAGUGGGUGGGGUACAGGCUCACAUAGGCGACGAUCUCUAGCUGGUCUGAGAGGAUGAUCAGCCACACUGGGACUGAGACACGGCCCAGACUCCUACGGGAGGCAGCAGUGGGGAAUAUUGGACAAUGGGCGCAAGCCUGAUGCAGCCAUGCCGCGUGUAUGAAGAAGGCCUUCGGGUUGUAAAGUACUUUCAGCGGGGAGGCGUUACCCGCAGAAGAAGCACCGGCUAACUACGUGCCAGCAGCCGCGGUAAUAC
rnacentral:rRNA from 1 species